AUUGAACGCUGGCGGCAUGCUUUACACAUGCAAGUCGAACGGCAGCGCGGGCUUCGGCUUGGCGUCGAGUGGCCAACGGGUGAGUAAUACAUCGGAACGUGCCCAGUUGUGGGGGAUAGCUCGGCGACAGCCGGAUUAAUACCGCAUACGACCUGAGGGUGAAAGCGGGGGAUCUUCGGACCUCGCGCUAUUGGACCGGCCGAUGGCAGAUUAGCGAGUUGGUGGGGUAAAGGCCUACCAAGGCGACGAUCUGUAGCUGGUCUGAGAGGACGACCAGCCACACUGGCACUGAGACACGGCCCAGACUCCUACGGGAGGCAGCAGUGGGGAAUUUUGGACAAUGGGCGAAAGCCUGAUCCAGCAAUGCCGCGUGUGUGAUGAAGGCCUUCGGGUUGUAAAGCACUUUUGGCGGGAACGAAAAGGACUGUGCCAAUACCACGGUUCGAUGACGGUACCCGCAGAAUAAGCACCGGCUAACUACGUG
rnacentral:rRNA from 1 species